rnacentral:lncRNA from 1 species
UGAGUCUCCUUGCAAAUGGUUUGACCAGCCCGCUGGGUGCUCCCGGGCCUUCCAUUCAUCUUACUUAGAAGUCAUUUGGCUUGUUUGUUGAACAGGCAUUUUAAUACUGAGUUCUCCCUCGGGCUCUGCAGGGAAAAUCAGUGAUGAACUGUGAGCCAUGGGACACGCAUGGCGUGUGCAUGGCCUCACAGCUGAGUCGCUGUCUGCACCGCAUGAUUUAAGCUUUACUGUAAGAGCACGGUUGGCCCCAAAUAUUUCUUCUGCCUGAGUGUCACGGCCCUGAACUCCUCUCCAGCCUGGUAGUCACCGUUUUGACUUGUGGAAUUUUCCACAACCAGUUUCGAAUCUCAGGGUGGGCUGCCGAUCACUAGAUUCCCCUCAGCUGUCACUUCUCGCUCCCCACACACAACCUCUCCUCAUCAGGCUCAGGGUUGCAAACUAACUGAGCAGUUCAAGGAAAGCUUCUUUGGGAAGAACAUCCGAUAGGGAAGCAGAACACACGCGUACCAAAUCAAACCUAUGUUUCUUUUAGAGAAUCUGAAGAGAUGGAGCUCCCGUGACUCCCUGGGCGUGGAGACUGUUUCAAGAAGAUGAACUGUUGACUAACAGAGCAAGAAGAAAGAUAAGAGGAGAAGACAGCGAGGAGGAAGACUGAGCAGAGACGACAGGAUCCAAGACCACGCAUGCUGCCCAUGGGACAGAUGUGGAUUCAGCAGAGCCACGGAGUUUCCAGAAGGCCGCUGCGUAACUGCCAACCAAGCAAGGAAUGAAAGGUGGGAAGAGCACCACAACUUCGAGAUCCUUCCUCCGAGUGAACUACUCUAUUCCCAUUGGUUUAAAGACUCUGAGCGAGGCAGUCCCACUGUUGUGAGGACAAGGCUUAAAAACCGCCC